rnacentral:rRNA from 1 species
UACGUAGGGUGCGAGCGUUGUCCGGAAUUAUUGGGCGUAAAGAGCUCGUAGGCGGUCUGUCGCGUCGAUCGUGAAAACUUGGGGCUUAACCCUGAGCUUGCGGUCGAUACGGGCAUGACUGGAGUUCGGCAGGGGAGACUGGAAUUCCUGGUGUAGCGGUGAAAUGCGCAGAUAUGAGGAGGAACACCAAUGGCGAAGGCAGCUCGCUGGGACGUGACUGACGCUGAGACGCGAAAGCGUGGGGAGCAAACAGG